rnacentral:miRNA from 1 species
UAACGGGAAGUGUGUAAGCACA